rnacentral:rRNA from 1 species
UGCGUAGGCGACGCAGCAAGUCGGGUGUGAAAUCCCCCAGCUCAACUGGGGAAUUGCGCCCGAAACUGCUGUGCUAGAGGAAUAUAGAGGUGAGCGGAACUUAGGGUGGAGCGGUGAAAUGCGUUGAUAUCCUAAGGAACACCGGUGGCGAAAGCGGCUCACUGGGUAUUCUCUGACGCUGAGGCACGAAAGCUAGGGGAGCAACG